rnacentral:tRNA from 1 species
UCCCCGGUAGCUCAGUUGGUAGAGCAGGUGGCUGUUAACCACCAUGUCGCUGGUUCGAGUCCGGCCCGGGGAGCCA